AGUUCUGAGGCGGGGGUUGUGUAGAUUCCUCUACCUUUUGAGUUUCGGAAUAGAAACUCCGAGUUACGAGUUAAAAUGGAACGCGGCAAAUUCCCGCUUAAUCAAAAUUACUCAGAAGGCAGUGAAAACUAAGGCACUUUAUUGUGAUGUGGUAUUGUACUGUAGGAUUUUACAUUAAUAUGCUGACAAAUCUACAGCGACAUCUUACAGGGUUUGAUUUGCAAAAAGAAUGAUACUUAUUCGCAUGACUUAUUGAUCAUUGUGUUUCACGUUGUCAUGACAAUGUACUGAGCAGUAAUCGAAACCUAACAUAGCGUCUCCGCCGAGCUAAGGGGUGUGGUAAUCCGACACGGCUUCACAUCUAAUGUAUACGUUUUUAGGGAAUGAUGUUUUUGAAGGAAAUGGUUAAGCCUAAAUAUCUUACCGACUUCACAUACCUGUAUCAUUUAUUUUCUUAAGGUACUAUGUAGAUUCUGAUGAAGAAACGAGUGAAAAAAGAAAAUGAAUGCAAACUUUCAAUGUGACGGAGUCGAGGAGGUUCUGUUCCACACCAGUUUCAGCUAGAUGCGUGAAUUUUUCAGGAGUCGAGGAGGUUCUGUUCCACACCAGUUUCAGCUAGAUGUGUGAAUUUUAUCAGGAGUCGAGGAGGUUCUGUUCCACACCAGUUUCAGCUAGAUGUGUGAAUUUUAUCAGGUAAGCUUGAUUAAAUGUUUUUGUCUAUUUCAAUCUUUAAAGCUUUUAUCUUUUUGACUCCUGCAUUACCGUGCCUUCACACAUUGAGCAGCGGGAGCGUCGAAGCGACAUUCUCUAUAGGAGGGCGCGUAAAUCUUGAUAAAUGCAUUUAUGUCUUGUUCUCCAAUAAAUUUCUCCUUACUUAUGUCUACGGGCCGCGUCGCCAGGCGGCAUAAAACUACGCGGUUGAAAAACCCAUAUAGACAUGACUUUUUAUGUCGUGUCAACACGGAAUAAAUGUACGUGUUAAAAGGUCUUUCAGUACUGAGAUAUCCAUAGGCGGAUACUUUUACUCUUCAAGUGCAAAUGUUUCAGUCUGUAGUGCGUUAUAUUGGUUGCCCUAUUGUAAUAGUUGGAGUUCCCAUUAACAUAUCCAUUAUCUAAUCUAUUGAAUACGUGUUUAUUUUACCCUGAACACAUUAAUUUUACGUUUCACUGGUGUACUAAACUUUGUUUUGUUUUGUGUUG